UACGUAGGGUGCAAGCGUUGUCCGGAAUUAUUGGGCGUAAAGAGCUCGUAGGCGGUUUGUCGCGUCUGCUGUGAAAACUCGGGGCUCAACUCCGAGCUUGCAGUGGGUACGGGCAGACUAGAGUGCGGUAGGGGAGACUGGAAUUCCUGGUGUAGCGGUGAAAUGCGCAGAUAUCGGGAAGAACACCCGUGGCGAAGGCGGCUCUCUGGGACGGUACUGGACGCUGAGACGCGAAAGCGUGGGGAGCGAACAGG
rnacentral:rRNA from 1 species